rnacentral:lncRNA from 1 species
CAGUAGCCCGCUGUUCUCCCCUGAGAUGUCUCUGUGGGAGCUGCAACAGCUGUGACGGUAGUAAAACACUGAGCCUUCCCUGCAUUGUGACGUCAAACCUCACCCACUUUACCUGCAUACGGCACAGCUGAAGGCAGAACAAGAUCUGCAUUAGACUGAAAAUAGUCAGAGAAGAAGACGAUCGGUCCUGACUCAAACUGGUCCUCAAUGGACCAGUGAAAUCCUUUC